AUUGAACGCUGGCGGCAGGCUUAACACAUGCAAGUCGCGCGAGCGGCGGACGGGUGAGAAAUGUCUGGGAAACUGCCUGAUGGAGGGGGAUAACUAAUGGAAACGGUAGCUAAUACCGCAUACCAUCAGAUGUGCCCAGAUGGGAUUAGCUAGGAGGUGGGGUAAUGGCUCACCUAGGCGACGAUCCCUAGCUGGUCUGAGAGGAGGACCCGCCAAACGGGAACUGAGACGCGGUCCAGACUCCUACGGGAGGGAGCAGGAGGGAGUAGUACACAAUGGGCGCAAGCCGGAUGCAGUCAUGCCGCGGAUGUGAAGAAGGCCUUCGGGUUGUAAAGCACUGUCAGCGGGGAGGCGUUACUCGCAGAAGAAGCACCGGCUAACGCCGUGCCAGCAGCCGCGGUAAUAC
rnacentral:rRNA from 1 species